ACGGAAGGCAGCAGUGGGGGAUAUUGCACAAUGGAGGAAACUCUGAUGCAGCAACGCCGCGUGAGGGAAGAAGGUUUUCGGAUUGUAAACCUCUGUUUUUAGUGAAGAACACAAUGACGGUAGCUAAAGAGGAAGCCACGGCUAACUACGUGCCAGCAGCCGCGGUAAUACGUAGGUGGCAAGCGUUGUCCGGAUUUACUGGGUGUAAAGGGUGCGGAGGCGGGACUGUAAGUUGGAUGUGAAAUACCGGGGCUCAACCCCGGAACGGCAUCCAAAACUGGAGUCCUUGAGUGGAGUAGAGGUAAGCGGAAUUCCGAGUGUAGCGGUGAAAUGCGUAGAUAUUCGGAGGAACACCAGUGGCGAAGGCGGCUUACUGGGCUCUAACUGACGCUGAGGCACGAAAGCAUGGGGAGCAAACAGGAUUAGAUACCCUGGUA
rnacentral:rRNA from 1 species